rnacentral:lncRNA from 1 species
CUUCUGGAGGAUGAGCAGCUCCAUGAAGGUGGACGAUCGCUUAGAGCCAGACAGCCCCUGGAAAGAGAGAUGCCUCGCUGACCUGCACCACUGCAAACAGGAAGAAAACUAUCAUAAAAUCCUGGGCUCUACACAUCCUGAAGUCUCCCUACUUGGCAGUAACGUGAUUUCAUCUUUUAUCUACACCCCUGGCUGGACCCACCAUUCUGGGCAUGAUAACCUGAAAUCUCAUCUUCUAGCCUCACAGGUGAUUAAUGGGGGUAGACUUUCUUCAUAUGGACAUAUUGAAGGAGCUGUCACAUUGUGUUGAUUAAGAACUAAAGCCCAAGAGGCAGACCUCCAAAAUUGAAAGCAAGAUGGCAAAAAGCCUCCUGGAGUUUGUCAGCCAGUUCUCAGUGCUUAUGUUUCCUAAUAAAUAAAUCAGGCAUGAAGAUGAUACUAAUAGUAGUACCUACAUCACAAGGUUGUUUGAAAUACAUGAAAUUAAUCUAGAUAACACGGCAAAAUCUAAAACUUGAUCAACACACAUUAGCUACUAGAAUACUCUACGGGGAGAUCUCUGGAUGUGCCCUGUAGUAAAAUUAUGUUAUUAAAAAUGAUUAUGUGGUAUGACUGAAAGUUACUUUACAGCAGAAAUUGGGACAACUUUGUCAAUCAGGUAUGAUAAAAAAAUGAGUAUUUGCACACAGUAACCAAUAUUCCUAUUCAAUGCAUUUUUCACCGUCUCUGAACUAGGUGUACAGUCUUCUCAGAGGUUCAAGUUCAAGGAUGGAGCCCCUGACUAGUAACGACUGCAUUAAAACAAACCAACACAGGGUGAAGGUGCAGGUUUGAGAGUUCAGAGGAGGGACCCAAACCAGCCUGGCUGGCUGGGAGGUUCCAGGGAAGAUUAAAUUAGGAGGCAACUGGCAGGCUAUGUUUUCUUAGUUGGUAGAUUAGUUUUCUAUCACUGGCAUCACAAAUUACGACACAAUCUGGGGCUUAAAGCAAUGUAAAUGUAUUGUUUUAAAUUUGCGGAAGUCAGAAAUCUGAAAUGGGUCUCCGUAAACAAAGUCACUGUGUUGGCAGGGUUGUGUUCUUUCCUUCUUGAGGCUCUAGGGGAGAAUGCAUCCUCUUGUCUUUUCCAGGCUAGACACCACCCACAGUCCUUGGUUCCUAGCCGCUUCCAUCUUCACAGCCAGCAACUGUAAGUAGAGUCCUUCUUCCAUCACACUGCAUCCCUUUUACCUACUGUCAGCCUCCAUUUUCCAGUGUAAAGACACCCCUUGAUACUCUGUUGUGGCCACCAGGAUAAUCCACAUUAUAAGGUCAGCUGGUUAGCAACUGACAUGGUCAUCUUCGGGAGAUUUUACCCCUGAAGGCUGUUAAUAAGGAACAAAAUGGGAAAGAAAGAAAUGCAACACCGAAGACUGACAAUGUUUAAUAUAUGGUGAUACAAAGGGAAAAAAAUACCCUCCCACCUAUCAUACUCAAACACAUGGAGGAAACUACAUAGCAAGGCUUUUGAAGAUGAGCGGCUUAAAUUUUCUCCGGUAAGUUAGUAUUAGUGGAAUGCAUCCUUGUUCCUCUUUGAGAGAACCAGAGUGUAAUGAAAGCAUCUGAUCAUCUGAUAGUUUGCAAAAUAAAUGGGGGGAAUUGAGGCAUGAUUUCAUCUUUGCUCUGCAUAGAUUUUGUUUACAUUCUGUCAGCGGGAAUUUGCAAGCCUUGUGGGUUUUGUUUGUUUACUGUCCAUCAUUCUUAUAAAAAAAAUCAGCUGCCAUGUCAUCAAUGAAGUCAGUCUAACCAAGAAGAAGGUGGUAUUGGUUAUAUUCAAGCUUCUCCUACUCUUGAUUUUGCUUUAUAGUUUUUAAAAAAUCAAGCAGGACCUGGAGUGUGUUAAAUACUAGUUCAUGAGUCUUCCACAAUCCUCAAUUCCAGUCUUAAAUAUAAAUUGCCCUUAAUAUUUGGUAUGCAUCUUUCCAAGCAUUUUUUUUUAAGGCAUACCCAUGUACCCAUUAACUGAUCAGGAUGAAAAUAUAGUUUGUUCUGAAGCAUGGUCUGGCUGGAAUGACAUAAUUUCAGUAGGACAUUUAUGUCUUUUUGGUAUUUAAUAUGCCUUUCCAGGAAGAAGCACUGUCCUUUUACUAUAUUUGAAUCUCUUCUAUGUACCAUAGUUAUCUAGUAGUUGUAAGCCUUUCCAUAAAAGAACCAGAGUUUUUUUUUUUUUUUUUUUGAUUUAGCGUAUUUUAAUUCUUCUUCCUCUUUUUGUUUCUGUUACCUACCCAUCCCUUCCUCUUGGAAACAUUCUUUGCAGCAUCCUAGAAGACAAUGGCUCCUUGUUCUGCUUCAAGGAUACAGUCAUUGAUAACUUCUGGCCUCCGUCUUGCUCAUGUUCUCCAUAGCUUUUCCUGUACUUGGGGUAAAGUUCUCCUGUUAUGCCCAUGAUGGAGCAGGUUUCCAGAAGUCAACUGCUGGUGUUUCCUUUAGCAAUUUGUGGCAUUCCUACCAUUUUCCCUCCAUGUACCACAGGGUCAUCUCUAGUAGGGACACUGCAUGAAUUCUAGUUCUAGAAGUAACCUCUUUGGGUGACUACUCACCAAUCAAGAUGGCCAGUGGUGGGGGUGGGGGCAUUUCAAACCAUAUUGGGAACUCUAAGGUUCUGUGGGGCAUCCCUGGAAUAGAGGAUAGGUUGGAGAUAAAGGAAGCUUGCCUACUUCAGUUUACAUAUAUUUUACUGACGAUAGUAGAGUUUCACUUUGUCCUUUACCUAAUUGAGGAUUUGAUCCAUAAAUUAACUAUCAAAACUCACUAAAUAAUCUCUACACCAACAGAUCUGGGAAGACCCUAUAGAAUCUCCUGUUUUGUGAACAAGACUUAAAAUAGCUAAAUUUCCUAAAACCACAUACCAGUUUUGUUUCCUUAGUAAAAAAACAAAACAAACACCAUGUACAGCAGAAAUUAUCGCAACCUUGGGAAUCAGCUGUACGUCAAUAAAACUUAAAAAAAAUUAAAUAAUGGAAACCUCCAAAAAAUUACAUGAUUCUGUGUUUCAGUAGAUUUAACUGCCGUUAGUCUGAUAUUUGUAUUAUCAAAAGCACAUGUACAUAAAAUAGUUUUAUAACUAGAGCACAUUUUCCUCCCUGUAAAAAUUCAUACCUCUUUUGGACAUUCUAUAUAUUCUUUUUCUAACAACUAUUUUUCAACCGACUCUGCUUUUUCAAAUAAGAUUGAUUUCUCCCAGUCAUGGAAAUCUGCCUGCUCAAAAUUCCCAAGGCUAAAUUUCUAAAUCUAUUUUCUAAUUACUUUUAGUUGUGCUACACUGGAGGUGGUAGGGGAAAAUCAUAGGAUAAUUACCCAGAGUACAAGUAGCUGGAUCUUUUGGCUCUGUGUGUGUGUGCGCGCGCUGAUGUGUUUCUUGCCUUGCUAAAGUAGAGUAAUUUCUGUGUAUUUUUUUUUUCAGAAUCUCUAAAAUGCCUUUAUGAAAGUUAAAUGUUAUAGGUUUUAUAUGUGAAUCACUUGGUACAGUGCCUAGCAUAUAGGAAACUGCAGUGAGCUGCUAACACUGAAUUGUAUGCUUUCUCUGUGUCAGCCUAAGAAAGUAAAUCCUUACUAUCCAGUGUCAAAUUAGAGUAUAUUUUACAAAUACAUAUCUACUAUAUAUGUGUAUAUAUAUUUACAUACAUAAAUAUACACAUUAUACAUUUUAUAAUCAUUACUGAAAUAGGAUGUAGAAAAACCUAAGUUGUUCCAAAUUUAUCCUCUUUUUUUUAAUGAAAAUUUAAAAAAAAAUUCAUGGAAGUGCAUGGUUAAUCUCAUUGUUUAAUCAUGGAAUAUCUAAUUCUAACAAAAUAUCAAUACAAAGAAAACCAUGGAGCAGCUAAUAUGGUACUUGGGGACCAGUAAAGCAGGGGGAAGAAAAUUGAGAGUCAUCUAAAAGCUAAAAUUUCACCAUCCAGCACCAGAGUAAACAUGGCAAAAUCACUCAUGUCCCUCUGUCUAGAUAUGUGGGAUGAUCUUAAUAUUCUCAGCACACGCUCCAGGCAGCCACCAUCUUAACUACCAGAAAUGCAAAAGGGAUGAGUCCUAUUUUUAUCACUCCCAUUCUAAUGUAAUGUCAUGAAGAGGGGCUCAAAAAUACGUAAAGAAUGUCAAUGAGUUUAUUUCCUCCAAAUAAAAAUAAUUAAGCAGUAAACUUUUAAAUGUUUAUGUAACUUAAGUAUACUUAGAAAACUAUUUCCAAAAUGAAUAGUUAAUAUAAUGAAGGAAGAAGCCUGGACAGUGAUUCCGACCUUACUUUUUAAAUCUGAUUUAAAAGAGUAAUUUUUUACCAAAACAGAAUAAUUAUGAAGCAGUGUAGACUCAUUAAAAUACAUAUUAAUCAAAUACAGAACUGAAAGGUGCAUAUAGAUUUAUUACCAGUACAGAGUGAACUUAUUUAAUAUUCAGAGAUACGAAAUAAAUUCCUAAAUAUUAUGGUUUUAUUAAUUUUCCUCAAGUCCUGAAAACAAUUCUUGUAAAAUAUAUUCUAAUUUAAAUAAAUUCAGAUUAUAAUUUCUUCUAAACAUGCAUUUUUACAUCCCAUUUAUCUGGUGGCAUUAUAUUGGUAAAGCAUAGAAAGAGAGAGCCUGUAAAAACUCAAGUAAAAUAAAUUAUAUACUCAUUUUCAAAUAGUGAAUCCCAGAAUACUAGAACUAAAAAGCUUUUUAAAAACUAACCUACCCAGUCUUCCUCAGCCUUGCCUUUAGUUUCCAUAUGUAUGAAUAUUUUCUUCUAAUCAUUUAUUUUUUAUCUUAAAUGUAAGAGAUACAUACUAUAAUAUGUAAUAUAUAUUGAUAUGUAUUCUUUUGAGGAUAUAUAAGAAUACAUAUUUCUAGAAAUCACCUGAGGUUUUUUUUUAAUGAAAUUAUAUAAAUAAUUUGUCUUCUUUCCCUCUUUUGAUAUUAAAAUGAGACUUAGAAAGAUCAACUGACUCAGCCAAGCAUCUAGUCAGUCAAUCAGAAAUUAGGAGAAGCCCCUGAGGGAUAAGGGUAUUUGUUUAGUUUCUCUCUUUCCUUGGAUAUUUUCCCUCAAGAGGAAACUGCAAUCAAUUAACUAUGCAUAGAAUCUUCUCAUCAAUAAAGUCACAAAUAAUACCUAAUCUGCUGUUUUAAUGCAGGAUGUAUUAUGUUAUACACAAAAGCUCAUAUGCAUACAAAGAAUAAGAUACAAUUUUCAGUGACACAAUGCUUAACAAGAUUAUUAUAUUGGAGUCAAUUCUGAUGAAAUAUAUAUGAAGAAACAUCUUCUGUAAGCCUACCAGGAUGGCUAUUGUAAUCCACACUGAAAACAGAUGGCACUUGCUAUGAUUUUUUUUUCCCAAAUUGUGUUCCUUGGACCAUCUUAACAUACAUAGUUAACUACAGUUUUAUUCACAGAACCUCUCUUUUCCUCCAGAGGAACAAAUCCUUUCAGUUCAGACUUAGGUUAGUGCUAAGAACUGGAUUGCAACUUACCCUGUGAUCUAUGACAGACAUGUCUUAGGAUUGAAUCAGAUCAGAAAUGAUAGCGAAACACUGCAGGUUAUUCCACAGACUCCUGUGUUAUCUCUGCUCUCUCUACACAGUGAAGAUUUAUAGAUGUAUUAAAGGUAGGUCAGUUGAUUAUUUGUAUUAAUGAGGUCUUGAUUUCACACAUUCAGGAAAAAAAAGGCAGAAUACUGUUUCCCAGGAUGGGGCUAUUUGAAAAUUAGCAAUUACUUUUUUUUUUUUUAAAAAAUAGAAGUAUAGUAGAUUUUCACUGCUGUAUUAGUUUCAGGUAUACAGCAAAGUAAUUCAGUCACAUAUUUUUUGCAGAAUAUUUUCUGUUAUACGUUAUUAUAAGAUAUUGAACAUUGUUCCCUUGUUAUACAGUAAAUCCUUGUUACUUAUUUAUUGUAUAUGUAUUAGUAUGUAUUUGUUAAUUCCAUAUCCUAAUUUGUCCCUCCCCCAACUCCCUUUGGUAACUCUAAAUUUUUUAGAUUCCACAUAAAAGAAAUAAAAGCAAAAUACAUGAGACCUAAGCAAAAACUUCUGCAAAGGAAACCAUCAACAAAACCAAACCAAUAACUUAAGGCAUGGGAGAAAAAUAUUUGCAAAUGAUGUGACCUACAAGGAGUUAAUUUCUCAAAUAUAGUAAUAGCUCAUACAACUCAGU